GUUUGAUUCUGGCUCAGGACGAACGCUGGCGGCGUGCUUAACACAUGCAAGUCGAACGGGGUGCCUAUGAAGGAGAUUUCGGUCAACGGAUUAGGUUACUUAGUGGCGGACGGGUGAGUAACGCGUGAGGAACCUGCCUUUCAGAGGGGGACAACAGUUGGAAACGACUGCUAAUACCGCAUGACAUAUCAUUAUCGCAUGGUAGUGAUAUCAAAGAUUUAUCGCUGAGAGAUGGCCUCGCGUCUGAUUAGCUAGUUGGUGAGGUAACGGCCCACCAAGGCGACGAUCAGUAGCCGGACUGAGAGGUUGGCCGGCCACAUUGGGACUGAGAUACGGCCCAGACUCCUACGGGAGGCAGCAGUGGGGGAAUAUUGGGCAAUGGGCGCAAGCCUGACCCAGCAACGCCGCGUGAAGGAAGAAGGCUUUCGGGUUGUAAACUUCUUUUAAGAGGGAAGAGCAGAAGACGGUACCUCUUGAAUAAGCUUCGGCUAACUACGUGCCAGCAGCCGCGGUAAUACGUAGGGAGCGAGCGUUGUCCGGAUUUACUGGGUGUAAAGGGCGUGUAGCCGGGCUGACAAGUCAGAUGUGAAAUCCCGCGGCUUAACCGCGGAACUGCAUUUGAAACUGUCGGUCUUGAGUAUCGGAGAGGCAGGCGGAAUUCCUAGUGUAGCGGUGAAAUGCGUAGAUAUUAGGAGGAACACCAGUGGCGAAGGCGGCCUGCUGGACGACAACUGACGGUGAGGCGCGAAAGCGUGGGGAGCAAACAGGAUUAGAUACCCUGGUAGUCCACGCUGUAAACGAUGGAUACUAGGUGUGCGGGGACUGACCCCCUGCGUGCCGCAGCUAACGCAAUAAGUAUCCCACCUGGGGAGUACGAUCGCAAGGUUGAAACUCAAAGGAAUUGACGGGGGCCCGCACAAGCGGUGGAUUAUGUGGUUUAAUUCGAAGCAACGCGAAGAACCUUACCAGGGCUUGACAUCCUGCUAACGAGGUAGAGAUACGUCAGGUGCCCUUCGGGGUAAGCAGAGACAGGUGGUGCAUGGUUGUCGUCAGCUCGUGUCGUGAGAUGUUGGGUUAAGUCCCGCAACGAGCGCAACCCUUAUUGUUAGUUGCUACGCAAGAGCACUCUAGCGAGACUGCCGUUGACAAAACGGAGGAAGGUGGGGACGACGUCAAAUCAUCAUGCCCCUUAUGUCCUGGGCUACACACGUAAUACAAUGGCGGUAAACAGAGGGAGGCAAGACCGUGAGGUGGAGCGAACCCCUAAAAGCCGUCCCAGUUCAGAUUGCAGUCUGCAACUCGACUGCAUGAAGUCGGAAUCGCUAGUAAUCGCGGAUCAGCAUGCCGCGGUGAAUACGUUCCCGGGCCUUGUACACACCGCCCGUCACACCAUGAGAGUCGGGAACACCCGAAGUCCGUAGCCUAACCGCAAGGGGGGGCGCGGCCGAAGGUGGGUUCGAUAAUUGGGGUGAAGUCGUAACAAGGUACCC
rnacentral:rRNA from 1 species